CCUACUGGAGGCCUCAUUGAGGCAUCUUGGUCAAUGGACGAGAGUCUGAACCAGCCAAGUAGCGUGAAGUCUUACUUCCCUAUGUGUUUUCCCCUUCUUUUCUCUUUUCCUCCCCUGUUCCACGUGUGGGAUUUUGUAUGUACCAUAUGAAUAAGGAUCGGCUAACUCCGUGCCAGCAGCCGCGGUAAUACGGAGGAUCCGAGCGUUAUCCGGAUUUAUUGGGUUUAAAGGGAGCGUAGGUGGAUUGUUAAGUCAGUUGUGAAAGGUUGCGGCUCAACCGUAAAAUUGCAGUUGAAACUGGCAGUCGUGAGUACAGUAGAGGUGGGCGGAAUUCGUGGUGUAGCGGUGAAAUGCUUAGAUAUCACGAAGAACUCCGAUUGCGAAGGCAGCUCACUGGACUGCAACUGACACUGAGGCUCGAAAGUGUGGGUAUCAAACAGGAUUAGAUACCCUUGUAGUC
rnacentral:rRNA from 1 species